rnacentral:rRNA from 1 species
AGCGCAGGCGGUGCGGCAAGUCUGAUGUGAAAGCCCGGGGCUCAACCCCGGUACUGCAUUGGAAACUGUCGUACUAGAGUGCCGGAGGGGUAAGCGGAAUUCCUAGUGUAGCGGUGAAAUGCGUAGAUAUUAGGAGGAACACCAGUGGCGAAGGCGGCUUACUGGACGACAACUGACGCUGAGGCUCGAAAGCGUGGGGAGCAAACA